CUUUCACCCACGCCCCACGUUGCAACCCUGUCAUCCACCCGUAGCUCGCUCCACACAACACAACCCCCCACUCAACCAGCCGCCGGCGAGAAAUUUACUAGCCGAUCCAUCUGGCGGCGAAUCCUCCCAUCCAGGUGGCGGCGGCGCCACACUGGAGUCACAACACCAUGGACGAACACAGCUCUGAGUCCGGCAGCUGCGGAGCAGACGCGGAUGGAUCUGGCAGUGGGCAACUGGAUGCAGCUCAUCCGGUGCCCGCGCAAGGCCCAUAUGGCUCCUCAUCUAGCGCCGGGGAGAGAGAGCCACCUCCGCCAACUUCACGCAUAUCGGUCAAGCACGCGGUGAGCGUAAUCAAGACUUUUGAUGAAUACAAGAGAUGGCUAGUAGAGCAAAUUGGGUUUGGAGGGAUGCUGAAGCUGCCGGACAUCCAGAAACUAAAUCUGAAGUGUGGCGCGUGGAUAAUGAGCAGAGUCAGCGUCAGUCGCAGGGAGAUUAAGCUUAGGGAUAAUAAGGUUAUCAAGUUCUACGCCGAGGAUCUUUACAAGGUGUUUGGGAUCCCAUGUGGCCAUCGUAAUGUGAAAGGCAGAGAUGCGAACAUCAACCCUAAGGCAGUUCAUUUCAUAAAGGCAAAUUUGCAGAUGAACAAAACAGGCGUCCACAGCUUGCGGGCAGCCGAAGAUUUUCUUCUGCGGGACAUCAAUGAGAAUUCAAGCAAGCUAGAGAAAGAUUGUUUCCAGAUUGCCUUCGUCAUUUUUGUCAUGGGACAUGUGCUAGUGCCUACAACCAAGCAUAACUACACUACUAUCGAUUUCUGGGGGGCAAUAGCAAACACCAAGUCGAUAGAUCAAUUCAAUUGGUGUGAGUAUGUUCUCCAGCAUCUGCUAGCUGCAGUGAAGAAGGUCAAGAGAGAUAUGAUGGCCAAUAGUUUGUCCACUAAUCUAACCGGUUGCCAUUUGUUCUUCCAGAUUUUUUGCUGGACAAUCUUGAUCUGGGCAUCUUUAACAAGGCACACAACGUGCUCCCCAGGAUAAGCGACUUCGACCCUGAAUCGUUUAGCCGAAUGCUGACCAUGGCUCUCGAUCCUGUCAAAGGAUCUAAUUCCUACUUGCAUGCUAAUAUAACAGAUGCUUCGACCGUUUGCUACACACGACAGAAGUACCAGUCUCAGGCCCCGACGUCAUCGAUACUCAAGAGGCAGCCUAGGCUCUCCGGCACGCCACCGGCUGCUCAGCAGCGGAACAACACUCCCCCAACAGCCAUUGGUGCAGUUCCUGGUCCACUAGAAUUUGCUAAAUACCUCCGGGAGAAGUACCCACACCUUGUAUGUGUGAUGUUCAUGUUUCAGUAACUGAUGAGAUCACCAUGGUAUUAAAACAGCACAACUCUAGGGCCAUUAUGCACUUGACGAAAGCUAGCAACUCCAUCCAGCAGGCUCUGUUAGAAGCGAAAAAUGGGUUGCAGAUGGAUACGUACAAGUUAUCAGAUAAAGUAAUCAAUUCACCCGCCACACGAUGUGUGUGUUGUCGCGCGAGGGGUUUUAAUGAUUAUCCUGCAGCAGCAUCCGCUAAUUCCAAGGCAGUACGGUUUAACACGCGGGUGGCACAUAGGAUACAUGGUCAAAGGCUUGAAUUGUCUGAUAAUGAAGCUACAUCACCUGGUCCCAACCCGAAACGCCCCCACAACACGAGGGGUUUUAAUGAUUGUCCUGCAUCAGCAUCCGCUAAUUCCAAGUCAGUAUGCUUUAGCACGCCGGUUGCACAAAGGAUACAUGGGCAAAGGCUUGAAUUGUCUGAUGACGAAGCUACGUCACCUGGUCUCAAACGGAAACGUCCCCACAACGUCGACGAUUGCACAUCUGUCAGCAAGAAGUCCUCAUCAGGAGCAUCGGGCGGUCUAUUCAAUUUUUUCAAGACUAACCUAAUGGCAAUAGCUCAACUCUAUGCGGAUCUCCCAGCCAACACACCCGCUACUGUAUUCGGCCAAUGUUGCACCAACUUACAGAAGCGGAAGUAUGUAUUCCAGCAUGGUUUUGCAACUGAUCCAUGGGGAAAGGGAGUUGUGCAACACCCCCGCAUGGUCCAACCACAGACCUCCUUGCUGCCCAUUUAUCGAAGCUGCCUGAACAAGAUUUUCAGAGGAACUACAUUAUCCACGCCAGCCCUAGGAUUAUACGCAUCUCUGUGUUGGCUAUGAGUCAGCAGUUAGUUGGCACGCGGGGUCUCCACCACGAGCUCAUGUCUAUCAUCAUGCGAAGGUAUACACAGUCAGAUCAGGAAGCCAAUUCCGAAUGCCCAUACAUGAAAUGGAGGCACAACAUGGAACCCGACUUCGCGACAAUUGUCCUAGCGGACCAUGAAUAUGUGACAAACAUAUCCAUCCAGAACCAGCUCGUUGGCAAGGAAAUCCCGUACGACAUAACUUCCUGCCAGAUGUUUUUCUUACCAGUCCCGCUGGAGGAUGGCUGGAUAGCACUGAUGUGGGACAUGAUGGAGAGGAAGCUCCACGUCCUUCACCCACUCAUCAGAGGUGAUGGUCCUAGCGAACCAAUGAAAGACAAGCUCAAGUUGGUUGCCUGGAAACUUCACCAUGCGUUGUUCGACUGCCUUAACGAGUAUUAUGCUGGAUGGCCUACGCAAGAUGGCCAGUGGGUGACCAAGUACCCAGUCAUAGCUGAAGAAAAUUUUAGCAGAGAUGAAACUAGCGCGUGUGUGCUCCAUAUCUGCCGGCACUAUGAUGGCGUCAAGAUGAAGAUUCCCCUUACCAAGUACAAUGCCGGCAAAACAAAAAGGCAAGCUCUACACGAGUGUGUCAAACUACAGGGGAACUCAUCGAAGCUGGCGCACGAGGCUCUGUGGACGGGUAGUGGGGGGAAACCUGCUGCAAGGCUCAUGCUGCGCCACUAGUGGGUAUAAGAAUGUCCAGCCAUCGGUGUCAACCAACCCGUUGCCGAAGAAGUUGUUGAAAAGAGAACGGAAUCUACGUUGGAAUUUUUUUGCACGGGCUUCAUGCUUGAUCUUCAUCUCAUCCAUCACAUCUGUCUCCGUAGGGUCAAGGACCAUCAUGGUUUUCUUGUCCUUGUCCAUAAGAUAGUUCUGAACUGCUUGCUGGAAACGAGAGGUUGAACCACCAGCUCCAGAUGGCAACAUAUUGGAGGCAAUUACCAGCAUCAUCACGACGGAAUGAAGGUCCAGGACGACAGUUUGUUUGCACGUCCAAGGCUCGCGGACGAGUUGUGACAUGUGGUCCAAGCUCUCCUGCAUCACUACGCUCGGUUGCACGCUCACGGGCUUCCACACUGGAGGUUGAUCAUCACCACCAUCUACGGAAAGAAAAAGAAACAGGUGCAUAAGGACAGCACGCCUGACAUGGAACCCGGGUGGGCAGGAUUUCUUCUCUCAUUCCGCACUAGCAUUUUACCUCUGCCAUCAUGAUAAAAGGAAGGUGCAGACCGACAUGAUGUCUGAACAUCUAGUGCGUGCGGACGGGUCGCAUGCUGGACUCGAGCAAGAAGUUCCUGUCUACUGGGACGGGCAUCUUCUCGGUAUUCAGUACCAUGCCAACCCAACAAGAUUUGACCAUUGAGAGGAGGGUCUUCAUCUUCAUCAUCUCCCGGCCUUGCGCUCCCAACCAUCAUCGUUGCUGGAAAAAAAUACUAAAGAGGAAUCCACCAGGCUCGCCGACUACAUCAUGCCAGUCUUCAUCCAGAUGAUCGAAUUCAUCCUGUGGUUUUGUCUGUUCAAGAAGAAAGUAAAGCUUCUCUAUGAGAUGGCACAUGUGGGCUAGAUGGCAACCUGACUAAGAAAUAUCUUUUUGUUACUCAUGUGGAAAAGGAUUUGUUUCCUUACUGGGAAUAUGCCUGGGUACUCCCUGAUGAGGAAAAUCAUCGUCCUGCAUAUCUCUCAUGUGUAAACGCUGAUCCGUGGGACUGUGUGUUGUUCUAAGUUAUAUACCCCGAAGUCAAUCCAGUCGAAGAACCAUGGCUGUCAGAUAUGCAAACAAAACAGGAAUCAAAAUUCAGAUGUUAGGAUCAAGAAAUGUGCGCCACAAAUCAUGAAAAAGAAAAUAUUUUUUUAUGUAAC
rnacentral:rRNA from 1 species